ACGAACGCUGGCGGCGUGCCUAAUACAUGCAAGUAGAACGCUGAAGAGAGGAGCUUGCUCUUCUUGGAUGAGUUGCGAACGGGUGAGUAACGCGUAGGUAACCUGCCUUGUAGCGGGGGAUAACUAUUGGAAACGAUAGCUAAUACCGCAUAACAAUGGAUGACACAUGUCAUUUAUUUGAAAGGGGCAAAUGCUCCACUACAAGAUGGACCUGCGUUGUAUUAGCUAGUAGGUGAGGUAACGGCUCACCUAGGCGACGAUACAUAGCCGACCUGAGAGGGUGAUCGGCCACACUGGGACUGAGACACGGCCCAGACUCCUACGGGAGGCAGCAGUAGGGAAUCUUCGGCAAUGGGGGCAACCCUGACCGAGCAACGCCGCGUGAGUGAAGAAGGUUUUCGGAUCGUAAAGCUCUGUUGUAAGUCAAGAACGAGUGUGAGAGUGGAAAGUUCACACUGUGACGGUAGCUUACCAGAAAGGGACGGCUAACUACGUGCCAGCAGCCGCGGUAAUACGUAGGUCCCGAGCGUUGUCCGGAUUUAUUGGGCGUAAAGCGAGCGCAGGCGGUUUGAUAAGUCUGAAGUUAAAGGCUGUGGCUCAACCAUAGUUCGCUUUGGAAACUGUCAAACUUGAGUGCAGAAGGGGAGAGUGGAAUUCCAUGUGUAGCGGUGAAAUGCGUAGAUAUAUGGAGGAACACCGGUGGCGAAAGCGGCUCUCUGGUCUGUAACUGACGCUGAGGCUCGAAAGCGUGGGGAGCGAACAGGAUUAGAUACCCUGGUAGUCCACGCCGUAAACGAUGAGUGCUAGGUGUUGGAUCCUUUCCGGGAUUCAGUGCCGCAGCUAACGCAUUAAGCACUCCGCCUGGGGAGUACGACCGCAAGGUUGAAACUCAAAGGAAUUGACGGGGGCCCGCACAAGCGGUGGAGCAUGUGGUUUAAUUCGAAGCAACGCGAAGAACCUUACCAGGUCUUGACAUCCCGAUGCUAUUUCUAGAGAUAGAAAGUUACUUCGGUACAUCGGUGACAGGUGGUGCAUGGUUGUCGUCAGCUCGUGUCGUGAGAUGUUGGGUUAAGUCCCGCAACGAGCGCAACCCCUAUUGUUAGUUGCCAUCAUUCAGUUGGGCACUCUAGCGAGACUGCGGGUAAUAAACCGGAGGAAGGUGGGGAUGACGUCAAAUCAUCAUGCCCCUUAUGACCUGGGCUACACACGUGCUACAAUGGUUGGUACAACGAGUUGCGAGUCGGUGACGGCAAGCUAAUCUCUUAAAGCCAAUCUCAGUUCGGAUUGUAGGCUGCAACUCGCCUACAUGAAGUCGGAAUCGCUAGUAAUCGCGGAUCAGCACGCCGCGGUGAAUACGUUCCCGGGCCUUGUACACACCGCCCGUCACACCACGAGAGUUUGUAACACCCGAAGUCGGUGAGGUAACCUUUUGGAGCCAGCCGCCUAAGGUGGGAU
rnacentral:rRNA from 1 species